rnacentral:rRNA from 1 species
GCAGCGAUGCCGCGUGAGUGAAGAAGGCCCUUGGGUUGUAAAGCUCUUUCGUCGGGGAAGAAAAUGACUGUACCCGAAUAAGAAGGUCCGGCUAACUUCGUGCCAGCAGCCGCGGUAAUACGAAGGGACCUAGCGUAGUUCGGAAUUACUGGGCUUAAAGAGUUCGUAGGUGGUUGAAAAAGUUAGUGGUGAAAUCCCAGAGCUUAACUCUGGAACUGCCAUUAAAACUUUUCAGCUAGAGUAUGAUAGAGGAAAGCAGAAUUUCUAGUGUAGAGGUGAAAUUCGUAGAUAUUAGAAAGAAUACCAAUUGCGAAGGCAGCUUUCUGGAUCAUUACUGACACUGAGGAACGAAAGCAUGGGUAGCGAAGAGGAUUAGAUACCCUCGUAGUCCAUGCCGUAAACGAUGUGUGUUAGACGUUGGAAAUUUAUUUUCAGUGUCGCAGGGAAACCGAUAAACACACCGCCUGGGGAGUACGACCGCAAGGUUAAAACUCAAAUGAAUUGACGGGGACCCGCACAAGUAGUGGAGCAUGUGGUUUAAUUCGAAGAUACGCGCAGAACCUUACCAACACUUGACAUGUUCGUCGCGACUCUAAGAGAUUAGAGUUUUCGGUUCGGCCGGACGAAACACAGGUGCUGCAUGGCUGUCGUCAGCUCGUGUCGUGAGAUGUUGGGUUAAGUCCCGCAACGAGCGCAACCCUCACUUUUAGUUGCCAUCAUUAAGUUGGGCACUCUGAAAGAACUGCCAGUGAUAAGCUGGAGGAAGGUGGGGAUGACGUCAAGUCCU